ACGCUCGACACCUACAGGAGGCAGCAGUGGGGGAAUAUUGCACAAUGGGGGAAACCCUGAUGCAGCGACGCCGCGUGAGUGAAGAAGUAAUUCGUUAUGUAAAGCUCUAUCAGCAGGGAAGAAAGUGACGGUACCUGAGUAAGAAGCCCCGGCUAACUACGUGCCAGAGCCGCGGUAAUCUGAGCGGGCUGGCAAGGC
rnacentral:rRNA from 1 species